UACGUAGGGUCCGAGCGUUGUCCGGAAUUAUUGGGCGUAAAGGGCUCGUAGGCGGUUUGUCGCGUCGGGAGUGAAAACACGGGGCUUAACCCCGUGCCUGCUUCCGAUACGGGCAGACUAGAGGUAUGCAGGGGAGAACGGAAUUCCUGGUGUAGCGGUGAAAUGCGCAGAUAUCAGGAGGAACACCGGUGGCGAAGGCGGUUCUCUGGGCAUUACCUGACGCUGAGGGGCGAAAGUGUGGGGAGCGAACAGG
rnacentral:rRNA from 1 species